CAAUAGCGUAUAUUAAAGUUGUUGCAGUUAAAAAGCCCGUAGUUGGAUUUUUGGUGACGGAUUAGCGGGAGGGCCGUGAAAGCGGUGUUUUUUCUGCUGGCGUUGCCAUUUGCUUCCUGAAGAGUGCGUGGGGCAUUCAUUUGUUUCCGCGAGUAACACGCUUCAGGUCGUUUACUUUGAGCAAAUUAGAGUGUUCAAAGCAGGCGUUUGCCUUGAAUACCUUAGCAUGGAAUAAUGAAAUAGGACUUGGUUUCUGUUUUGUUGGUUUCUAGAAGCCGAGUAAUGAUUAAUAGGAACAGUUGGGGCCGUUCAUAUUUCAUUGUCAGAGGUGAAAUUCUUAGAUUUAUGGAAGAUGAACUACUGCGAAAGCAUUCGGCAAGGAUGUUUUCAUUAA
rnacentral:rRNA from 1 species